rnacentral:rRNA from 1 species
UACCAGCACCCCGAGUGGUCGGGACGUUUAUUGGGCCUAAAGCAUCCGUAGCCGGUUCUACAAGUCUUCCGUUAAAUCCAGCUGCUUAACAGAUGGGCUGCGGAAGAUACUAUGGAGCUAGGAGGCGGGAGAGGCAAGCGGUACUCGAUGGGUAGGGGUAAAGACGUUCGUGAUCCAUUGAAGACCACCAGUGGCGAAGGCGGCUUGCCAGAACGCGCUCGACGGUGAGGGAUGAAAGCUGGGGGAGCAAACCGGGAU